rnacentral:rRNA from 1 species
GACGAACGCUGGCGGCGUGCUCAACACAUGCAAGUCGAACGGGAUUUAGUAAACGGAAGCCUCGGUGGAAGAUUACUAAUGAGAGUGGCGAACGGGUGAGUAACGCGUGAGCAACCUGCCUAUGACAGUGGGAUAGCCUCGGGAAACCGGGAUUAAUACCGCAUAAAAUCGUAGAAACACAUGUUUCAACGGUCAAAGAUUUAUCGGUCAUAGAUGGGCUCGCGUCUGAUUAGCUAGUUGGUGAGAUAACAGCCCACCAAGGCGACGAUCAGUAGCCGGUCUGAGAGGAUGAACGGCCACAUUGGAACUGAGACACGGUCCAAACUCCUACGGGAGGCAGCAGUGGGGAAUAUUGCACAAUGGGGGAAACCCUGAUGCAGCGACGCCGCGUGAACGAAGAAGGUAUUCGUAUCGUAAAGUUCUGUCCUAUGGGAAGAUAAUGACAGUACCAUAGAAGAAAGCUCCGGCUAAAUACGUG